AAACCGGAGCUAAUACCUGAUAAUAUUUUGAACCGCAUGGUUCAAAAGUGAAAGACGGUCUUGCUGUCACUUAUUAGAUGGAUCCGCGCUGCAUUAGCUAGUUGGUAAGGUAACGGCUUACCAAGGCAACGAUGCAUAGCCGACCUGAGAGGGUGAUCGGCCACACUGGAACUGAGACACGGUCCAG
rnacentral:rRNA from 1 species